rnacentral:snRNA from 1 species
GCUCAUUCCUGACCUAUACUAAAAUUGGAACAACAUAGAGAAGAUUAUCAUAGCCCCUGCGCAAGGAUGACACGCAAAAUAUUUGUUUUUU